CAGUAGUGGAUUUCCUUUUAUCAAGGUCUCCUGCAAAAUCUGAAUCCAUAUAGCCCCUGACAGUAAAUUCUGAUCCUCCAUAACAUAAUGCAACAUCUGAGGUUCCUCUGAUGUAUCUCAGAAUCCUCUUCACAGCUAUCCAAUGCUCUCCACUAGGAUUCGCCAUGUAUCGACUGACUGCUCCCACUGCUUGUGCAAUGUCUGGUGUUGUACAUAUUAUAGCGAACAUUAAACUUCCCACUGCUGAUGCAUAUGGUACUCGAGAUAUCUCCCUCCUCUCUGCUUCAUUGCUAGGACACAUACUUGAGGAUAAUUUGAAAUUAACAGGAACUGGGGUAGAAAUUGACUUACAAUCUUGCAUGUUGAAGCGUCAUAAGAUUUUCUUCAAGUAAUUCUUCUGUGAAAGCCAAAUCUUCCUAUUAUUUCUGUCUCGGUGAAUUUGCAUCCCUAGAAUCUUGUUUGUUGGUCCCAAGUCCUUCAUUUCAAACUCCCUAGCCAACUGUGCCUUCAAUUCUUGGAUUCGAUCUUUGUUGGGAUCUACUACCAACAUGUCAUCCACAUACAACACCAAAAUAAUAAAACCAUUGUCUUCAAACCUCUUGUAAUAUGCACAAUGGUCUGAACUGAGUCUGUUGUAUCCAAGGCUCAUGAUGAAGGAAUCAAAUCUCUUAUACCAACACCUCAGCGUCUGUUUGAGACCGUAUAAAGAUUUGUUCAACUUGCAAACCAAGUUCUCCUUUCUUGUUUCUGCAAAACCUUCUGGUUGGAGCAUAUAAAUUUCUUCUUCAAGUUCUCCAUGAAGAAAUGCAGUUUUAACAUCUAACUGCUCUAGAUGUAGGUCAAAUGUAGCACACAUUGCCAAGACUAUUCUGACUGUUGUGAGUCGAACCACCAGAGAAAAUAUCUCGUUGAAGUCAAUACCUUCUUUCUGAGCAUAUCCUUUCACCACCAGUCUUGCACGAUACCGCUCCACUUGCAAUCAAUCUCCACACCAUCCUUUCUGCUUCGCCAUAAUCAUGUUGCCUACGUUUCUGCUAGGCCACAAGAGGAUCUACUCCAGACAAACUUAUCAGUAUUUAUCGGCUUGGUCAAAACAUCUGCUAGGUUCUCUUUGGUAUGGAUUUUCUGCAAAUCCACACUUCCAUCUUCCACUACUUCACGAACGAAGUGAUACUGAACUCCUAUGUGCUUUGUCCUGGAAUGAAAAGCUGGAUUCCUUGCAAUGUGCAAGGCACUCUGACUGUCACAAAACACAGGAAUUUUCUGUUGUUUGUACCCGAGCUCCUCCAAUAAUCUUUGUAUCCAAAUAGCUUCCUUGCAAGCUUGUGUAGCUGCCAUGUACUCUGCUUCUGUUGUAGAUAAAGCCACAACGGUCUGCAGUUUCGAAACCCAGCUUACGGCUGCUCCCGCAAGUGCAAACACAUAACCAGUAGUGGAUUUCCUUUUAUCAAGGUCUCCUGCAAAAUCUGAAUCCACAUAGCCCCUGACAGUAAACUCUGAUCCUCCAUAACAUAAUGCAACAUCUGAGGUUCCUCUGAUGUAUCUCAGAAUCCUCUUCACAGCUAUCCAAUGCUCUCCACUAGGAUUCGCCAUGUAUCGACUGACUGCUCCCACUGCUUGUGCAAU
rnacentral:lncRNA from 1 species